GCCAUGGACGGAAGUCUGAUGCAGCGACGCCGCGUGAGUGAAAAGCUCGGGUUGUAAAACUCUUUUGAGGGGGAAGAGCGAGGACGGUACCCCUGGAAUAAGCGUCGGCUAACUACGUGCCAGCAGCCGCGGUAAGACGUAGGACGCGAGCGUUAUCCGGAUUUACUGGGCGUAAAGCGUCUGUAGGCGGAUGUGUAAGUUGGGCGUGAAAGCUCCGGGCUUAACCCGGAGAGGCCGUUCAAUACUGCAUAACUUGAGGGUGUCAGAGGGGAGCGGAAUUCCCGGUGUAGCGGUAAAAUGCGCAGAGAUCGGGAGGAACACCAGUGGCGGAGGCGGUUCCCUGGGGCACACCUGACGCUGAGAGACGAAAGCUAGGGGAGCGAACAGGAUUAGAGACCCUGGUAGUCCUAGCCCUAAACGAUGAAUGCUAGGUGUGGGAUCGAAUGGUUCCGUGCCGGAGCGAACGCGAUAAGCAUUCCGCCUGGGGAGUACGGCCGCAAGGUUAAAACUCAAACGAAUUGACGGGGCCCCGCACAAGCAGCGGAGCGUGUGGUUUAAUUCGAUGCUACACGAAGAACCUUACCUGGGUUUGACCUGUAGGUGGUAGUGAAUCGAAAGGUGAACGACCCUUCGGGGAGCCUACACAGGUGCUGCAUGGCUGUCGUCAGCUCGUGCCGUGAGGUGUCGGGUUAAGUCCCGUAACGAGCGCAACCCUUGCUCCUAGUUACAAGUGUCUAGGGGGACUGCCGGCGGAAAGCCGGAGGAAGGUGGGGAUGACGUCAAGUCAGCAUGGCCCUUAUAUCCAGGGCUACACACACGCUACAAUGGUCGGUACAAAGGGCAGCGAAACCGCGAGGCGGAGCGAAUCCGAGAAAAGCCGAUCGUAGUUCGGAUAGCAGGCUGCAACCCGCCUGCUUGAAGCUGGAGUUGCUAGUAACCGCGCGUCAGCCAUAGCGCGGUGAUACGUUCCCGGGGCUUGUACACACCGCCCGUCACGUCAUGGGAGUCGGUAACGCCUGAAGCCGGUAGUCUAACUGGAAACAGGAGACGCUGUCGAGGGCGGGACUGGCAACUGGGACGAAGUC
rnacentral:rRNA from 1 species